GAGGGAGAAAGGGCUGGAUAUUUAUUCCUCCUGCUUUUUCAUGACUUGGCCUGAUUAGGGCUGCAUCUGUAUCCCUUUGUGACUUCGACCUCCCUCAAACAGCCCCUCUGCAUGGUGCUAACUCUGAACCAAGCUCUGAUUGCCAGUCCAGGUUCGAUGCAUGAAGCAGAAUGCUCAGGUGUGGUGCUAAUGUGCAGUGGACACUGGAGCCGGGGGUUGAGCGGUGAAUGCCAGUAUGCGGGAUGACAUCAGCAGGCCCUUCAGGGUGGAAUUCUGGUGAGACAAGAGUACAUCAUGAAAAAUUGUAGACUGGAUGAAGCACAAGCUGGAAUCAAGAUUGCCAGGAGAAAUAUCAAUAACCUCAGAUAUGCAGAUGACACCACCCUCAUGGCAGAAAGCGAAGAAGAACUAAAGAGCCUCUUGAUGAAAAUGAAAGAGGAGAGUGAAGAGGUUGGCUUAAAACUCAACAUUCAGAAAACUAAGAUCAUGGCAUCUGGUCCCAUCACUUCAUGGCAAAUAGAUGGGGAAACAGUGGAAACGGUGGCUGACUUUAUUUUUUUGGGCUCCAAAAUCACUGAAGAUGGUGACUGCAGCCAUGAAACUAGAAAAUGAUUGCUCCUUGGAAGGAAAGUUAUGAUCAACCUAGACAGCAUAUUAAAAAGCAGAGACAUUACUUUGCCAACAAAGGUCCAUCUAGUCAAGACUAUGGUUUUUCCAGUAGUCAUGUAUGGAUGUGAGAGUUGGACUAGCUUUCUUUGCUGAGUGCUGAAGAAUUGAUGCUUUUGAACUGUGGUGUUGGAGGAGACUCUUGAGAGUCCGUUGGACUGCAAGAAGAUCAAACCAGUCCAUCCUAAAGGAGAUUAGUCCUGAGUGUUCAUUGGAAGGACUGAUGUUGGAGCUGAAACUCCAAUACUUUGGCCACCUUAUGUGAAGAGCUGACUCAUUUGAAAAGACCCUGAUGCUGGGAAAGAUUGAGGGCGGGAGGAGAAGGGGACGACAGAGGAUGAGACGGUUGGAUGGAAUCACCAACUCAAUGGACAUGAGUUUGGGUAAACUCCGGGAGUUGGUGAUGGACAGGGAGGUGUGGUGUGCUGCAGUUCAUGGGGUCGCAAAGAGUCUGAGCGACUGAACUGACUGACUGAUCUUUAUUUGGAGCAUAGUACUUAUUCCGAAUAAAAUCAAUGAAGAAAUUUCAA